rnacentral:misc_RNA from 1 species
AUUCCUUGAGAAACAUAUGAUCAGUUUCUUCAGGAAGACAUUCUUGUAACUUGACGUUUUAUUAUUUCAUGGUAGAACACUUUUUGUCACUUGCGGUUAUGGUUCUUGUGGUACAUGGGUGUACUCUUCCACCUAUAAGUACUCCAUGGAGGAUUGGAGGUACUAAAAAGAUGAAUCUGAUUCUUUUUCCCCUUUUGGAUCCUCUAGAGGACCCAUACGUUAUUCCUCUAGGUCUUGAAAUCAUCCUUGAAAAACUCCCAUGAUUGUAUAUUGAUCCUUAAGAAGUAGUUAUGCACAGGAUAGCUUGUUUAACUAUUUUCAUGUCCUCCCGGUUCCUUCUUCAAUCCUCCGCUACCUAGCUCAUAUUAUCCGACAAAUCAACUCAUUGUCCCCUUGCAUUUUCUCUUUUUUUGUUGCUCCUUUUAUUGCAUAUGUUAUGCAUUUUCAUUUGAUGUUCUCUUUAUUUUCUCUGAUGGUGAAUCAACUCCAUUUGCUUUUGUAACCUUCCGCUCCCAAUACAGUAACACUAAAUAAGGGAAAAGUUUCAUGAUCUAAAGUUUGUUUAACUGUUAACUGUGUUUCUUUCAUCAUUGUGGAUUGCAUUGAAUUGUAACAUUUGGCUUCCUAAAAUUUGUUAGCUGAUAGGGCACAGAAUUUACGGAGGACUGUAUUCUUUUUCUUAAUUUCUUCCCAUAUAUGGUACAAUGUAGAAUCUAAUUUGUCUUUUCCCUUUUGGACUUAAUUCAUAGGUUGUUUCAUUUAUGAACUCUUUUCUGGUAUUAAGUUGGGGAAAACGGAGGAGUUGCGCAACACUGGUUCCAUUCCAAAGUCAUUGCUUCAGGAUUACCAGCGGCUCCUUAGUUCUAUGCCCUCUCGCAGGAUGAAUACAUCAAAGCUUAUAGAAAAUAGUGAAUAUUUUCAGAAUAAGUUGGUGGACACCAUACAUUUCAUGGAAAUUCUUACGUUGAAAGACAGUGUUGAGAAGGAUACCUUCUUCCGUAAACUUCCAAAUUUAGCAGAGCAGCUUCCUCGCCAAAUUGUGCUGAAAA